GUGUUGAUGUUCCCAGGACAAAGAGUAUCAGUAUAUUUUCAGAUGGCCAUAAGAACAUCUUUGUUGGGAGAAUAUUUGUGGGCAAAAAAAAAAACUCCCAGAUGUGUGGUGUAUGGAAAACAUCAUCAAAUAUCUACUUGUGAUAAUUCCCCAAACAUGUCAGAACAUAUCAGCUCUAUGAGGAGGAUUGCCUCUAUUCAACGCUAUCACAUUACUGUAUGUCCCCACGCAUGACACAACAACAAAGGCAAAAAGGCUUGUUAUAUGAAUGUACCGUUCCUACAUGUACAUUCAACUUUACUGUGUGUGACUAGUAUGUAUUUGAGCAUCCAUGUUCUCAAACAGACACACAAACACACCUGAGCUAUUGACAUAUUUUAUAUUUCAUACGGGCUGAUACGUACUAAUGCUGCAGGAUUAUAACACACUGGGAUCACAAGUAUGUACCCAUGGGAUGUGAACUUUCAAUGACAUCAAACACUUUCUUCAUUUCUUAUAACACCUCUCUCAACUAGUGUUUACUGUUCAUCCACUUUGCCCACGCAUCAGAGGUCUCAGCUCAGCGAAUGGGCAAUCUCCCCACAUACAUUCCUGCGGUUGAACUGGUUUCUAUUUUUCUGUAUUUUGUUCACAUCCACCAAGGUGAAGUAUUCUACCUCUAUUCACAUUCCACAGGCUAUUCAACGACUCAUCCAAUAGAUCCAUGCAAUCCUUUAGUCGCUCAAUCAAGGGCUGUGUUUUACACAAAUUCUGAUAUUCUGCCAAAUGACUGUCAAAAGAGCUGAUCUGUUUGGUCAAAUUACAAAUUAGGGAAACAAAUAUCAGAAUUGGGCUGUGUAAAUGCAGCCAAUAUGACAGUUAGGCUCAACGUAACUACAUAGACAAAGGAUGUGACUUCUGUCUAGCUUUUGAGAAUGAGGCAUGAUUGGUAAUGGUUCACCACUAGACUAAAAGUUAUCAUCAGGUAUUGUAAGAAAAGAUCCUCCCAGAUAUCACACUUCAGGAAUCUUUACAAUGGUCAUAGGCCUCUUAUAAGACACGUCAACAUCUUCCCUGGCAACACUUUCUGUAAUUUAUUUACUAGGUCUAGGAGACAGGGAUGGAGUGGAAAGUUCCUUUUUUGGCUCCAGUUUAAUGACAACUGAUCCAGGCAGUUGGACGGGCACACCUGAUGGAAUGCAGCCCAUGACUCAACCGCUGUGCAGGGCAUGUCUCCACACGCUGAGAGAAUAGAUCAGGAAAACUACUCCAAUGUUCUGUGUCAGUACUUGUCUUAUAGGGCGGUGUACAAACAGAAGAUGAGGAGCUGGGGCAGAACUAACAGAGAAUCCUGUACAGUCUUACUGCUGCAAAGAGGAGUCACCAACUCAGAACCUGUCCCAGAGAUCGUCAAAUUUCUCCACUGGGCGGGUCUACAGUUCUGGCUGACGUGUUAAACUGGGGACCCAACCUCUGUCCAUACAAAUGGCAGUGGUGGAAAAAGUAUCCAAUUGUCAUACUUGAGUAAAAGUAUAGACACAUAAAUAGAAAAGGAUUCACGUAAAAGUGAAUCACCCAGUAAAAUACUACUUGGGAGUAAAAAUCUAAAGGUAUUUGGUUUUAAAUACACUUAAAUAUCAAAAGUAAAUGUAAUUGCUAAAAUAUACUUAAGUACCAAAGUAUAAAUCAUUUAAAAUUCCUUAUAUUAAGCAAACCAGACGGCACCAUUUUCUUGUUUUUAUUUUAUUUACAGAUACCCAGGGGUACAUUGCAAAACUCAGACAUAAUUUACAAACGAAACGUGUGUUUAGUGAGUCCGCCAGAUCAGAGGCUUUAGAGAUGACCAGGGAUGUUCUGAUAAGUGUGUGAAUUGGACCAUUUUUCUGUCCUGCUAAUAAUUCAAAAUGUAAAGAGUAGUUUCG